GCCGGUAUAGCUUAGUUGGUAAAGCAACGUAUUCGUAAUGCGAAGAUCAUAGGUUCGAUUCCUAUUACCGGCA
rnacentral:tRNA from 1 species